AACUACCAAAAUGCACUUUACCAAAACAUAGCUGAAUACGUGAAUAUCACCAUAUUUGGUUUUGAGGGUUAACUCAUAGGUUCAAAAAUCAAUGCAGAGAAGAACAAAGCGUUAGGCAGCAAAAGAAAAAUAUCGUAAGACCAUGGGCAUUGACAGGUCCCAUGGCAGUCCCCCAAAUUUUUAAGAAAAAAAAAAAAAGAUUUUUUGUGUGCGGGUCGUUUUUUUAAAUGGGACUGUCCCUCUUCCAUUCGCGGGCCCCACUGACACGUGGCGGCCCGCGAUUGGAUAAUCUUUUUUUUGUUUUUUUUCUUUUUUAAAUUCUGUAAAAAGAAAAAAAAAAAAUUUGGGACCAGAAAUCGGU
rnacentral:lncRNA from 1 species